rnacentral:lncRNA from 1 species
CCGCGUGACUUGUCCUCUCUGGAAAGAUCCUGUUGCUUCCUGCCUGGGCAGGGCUGGGGCCAGGGCUUGCCGGCUUUGGGGACCCACCCAGCGCAGUCUGGACUGGGCUGGCCUCAAAGGUCCCAACCUCUGAGCCUCCCCUGACCCACCAUCCAGCACCGCUCCCCCGGCCGCCUGGCUGAGACUCACGAGAAUGACAUGAGUCAUUCACAGCAGCUGUGGACAUUUACAGAGCCUCCCAGCUGCUGGCCCAGCCAAGUGCUAUGCCAGCAGUCUCUCCCCUCCUCACGGGAGUGUCACCCCUGUUCACACCUGAGGACACGGCUCAGAGCAGGAAGGGGUAGGGAAACUGAGGCACAGGGCAGCUCUGUGCUACCUCUUCUCUGUCACCCAUGCUCAGAUAAAGGUGGAUGAGAGAAUGAAGCUCAGCUCCACUUCCCCGCUAGGAGGAAAUGAGGCAGAGAAGAGAGGCAACUCGGCAUCAGUUGUCCACGGGACAGUCCCAAGCCUGGAUUUGAACACAGGUGGAGAUGUGAUGUCAUUUUAGUACUCUUUUUGAGAAGUUGACCAAAAGAAGCGGCCAUCUCUUGCAACCUGGGGAUAUUUGAGUUUCCUCUGUGAUGAAGCUUCGGCUGCUCCCCCCACCUGCUUCUGCCCUCCCCUCUACUCUGCUGUUGUUUUCUUUUUUUUCCCAUUGCAUUAUCUACCUUCUAGCGUGUUAUUAACUGCUCCAGUUUCCCAGGCCACUGCCUGUCAUCUGGCCUCCUGGCUGGAACAUCAGCCCCACUAGGGCAGGGACCUUGUCUGUUUUGUGCUUGGCCUACAAAAGUGCCCAGCACCCAGUAGGACCUCAUGGGCCUCAUGUAUAAAACUUCUUUUUUUUUUGAGACGGAGUCUCGCUCUGUCACCCAGACUGGAGUGCAGUGGUGCAAUCUCGGCUCACUGCAACCUCCGCCUCCUGGGUUCAAGCGAUUCUCCUUCCUCAGCCUCCAGAGUAGUUGGGACAACAGGAGCGUGCCACAAUGCCCAGCUAAUUUUUGAUAUUUUUAGUAGAGGUGGGGUUUCACCGUAUUAGCCAGGAUGGUCUCCAUCUCCCGACCUCGUGAUCCACCCGCCUUGGCCUCCCAAAGUGCUGGGAUUAUAGGCAUAAGCCAUCGCGCCCGGCCAUGUAUAAAACUUUUGUUGAUGAAUACAUGAAUCACCAACUGAAAAUAAAUUUUGAGCAAGCAAACCAAAUAUAAGGCAGAAACAACUGUCUUGAAAGUCAACAUAGGCCAGGCACAGUGGCUCACGCCUGUAAUCCCAGCACUUUGGGAAGCCGAGGAGGGUGGAUCACCUGAGGUCAGGAGUCCGAGACCGGCCUGGCCAACAUGGCAAAACCCUGUCUCUACUAAAAAUACAAAAAUUAGCUGGGGGUGGCGAUGCGUGCCUGUAAUCCCAGCUACUUGGGAGGCUGAGGCAGGAGAAUCGCUUGAACCUGGGAGCGGAGGUUGCAGUGAGCUGAAAUUGCACCACUGCACUCCAGCCUGGGUGACAAAGUGAGACUCCUCAAAAAAAAAAAAAAAAAAAGUCAGCAUAAAUGGGCCAGGCGCAGUGGCUCACACCUGUAAUCCUAGCACUUUGGGAGGCUGAAGUGGGCAGAUUGCUUGAGCCCAGGAGUUUGACACCAGCCUGGGUAACAUGGCAAAACUCUGUCUCUACAAAAAAUUUAAAAAUUAGCUGGGUAUGGUGGCGCAUGCCUGUAGUCCCAGCUACUUGGGAGACUGAUACGGGAGGAUAGCUUGAACUUGGAAGGUCGAGGUUGCAGUGAGCUGUGAUUGUGCCACUGCACUGAAAGAGUGAGACCCUAUCUAAAAAAAAUAAUAAAAUCAGCAUAAAUGUUUUAAUGUCACACUAGAGUGUCCCUGAGU